UUAUAUUUUGCUUAUGUGCGAUCCAAGCUUGAAUAUGCAAGUGCUGUUUGGUCUCCAUUUUCUCGGAUUCAUAUAGACACAUUGGAGAAGAUUCAACGACGUUUUUUGAAGUACUUAGCUUUUAGGGCGGAUGGUGUUUAUCCACCAAGGGACGGACUAUUGCAUCGUUGAAUUUUCUAAAAAAGUUGGUUCAUUUUCAUAUUGAUUGUCCGGAUCUUUUGAGUCGAUUAUAUUUGCUUGUCCCCAGAUUGUCAUCUCGUUCUCAUGAUUGCUUCUAUUUGCCUACUCCUCGCUUAAACGUUGUAAAACACUCACCUAUAUACGAGAUGUGUACUUUAUACAAUUCGGAACAGAAUGCAUUUGAUAUAUUUAAAUAAAUAGGUUUUUUCUUUGUA